AAGAUUAAGCCAUGCAUGUCUAAGUAUAAGCAAUUUAUACAGUGAAACUGCGAAUGGCUCAUUAAAUCAGUUAUCGUUUAUUUGAUAGUUCCUUUACUACAUGGUAUAACUGUGGUAAUUCUAGAGCUAAUACAUGCUUAAAAUCUCGACCCUUUGGAAGAGAUGUAUUUAUUAGAUAAAAACCAAUGGGUGAAAGCCCUUCUUGGUGAUUCAUGAUAACUUCUCGAAUCGCAU
rnacentral:rRNA from 1 species